CUAUUCCUUUGGUUCUAUUUAUUGGUAGUGCAAAUGCAUUUCUGCUAAUUAUUUCCCCUUUGGUUUUAUUUAUUGGACAUACAUAUGUAUUAAUGUUAAUUAGAUAAAAUAUUUCUUGGAUAAAAAAAUCUGAUAUCAACUCACAGGCUGCCUUUUAUAUGUGGCUUCUCUGAAUCCUUAAUUAGCCAUCCCGCUGGGAGUCGUUUCCUUUGGUUCUAUUUAUUGGUAGUGCAAAUGCAUUUCUGCCAGUUAUUUCCCCUUUGGUUUUGUUUAUUGGACAUACAUAUGCAUUAAUGUUAAUUAGAUAAAAUAUUUCUUGGAUAAAAAAAUCUGAUAUCAACUCUUAUUGUAUUUAAAAAAAAAUCUACUAUUUUUUUUCAAUAAUUAAAAAAUAAUCUGCUAUUAACUAUUCUGAAGUUUUGAGCCUCUGAGAUGGAUUUUAUUUUACCACUUGCUAAAGAUCUUUCUAGUAAAAAUAAUCAAGAAGUAAGAGAUUUGCUGCUAUGAGCAUCAUUUGAAGUUUUGAGUAGUUUUGCUUUUCGAUAAAAAAAAAUUGUUUCUAGAAGAACAAGAAUGUUAUCAGAAAUGUGGAGAAAAUAGUUCAACGAGAAGAUAAGAUAUCCUAAGAAAAACUAAAUACAACAAAACAAAGAAAUUUUAAUAUGAGGGGCAGGUCAGUUCCUACGCUGGAGAAAACCAUGAAAGACAAGAUGAGCCUUAAACAUAAUAUAGACGAUAAAGUUAAUCUAUCUCAAAGAAGCUGGAGAUUUUGUAAAUGACUUUUUAAAAUUCUGGCAUUCUUUUCCAAUCGAAAGAGCUACUUUAGUUAGUUCGAAUUAUGCUAUUCCUAUGAAGAGAUGCUUUCUUGUUAGCAAGCGGGGGCAUAAUUGUGUAAUUUAUGUGUUCAUUACGGUUGAAUUUUUAGUAAAGUUAAUAAACAGUCUGGGUGUUUCAUGACAGAUAUUCUGUCUUUUGCUGGUUUUGGCAGACUGGAUAUUGCAUGUUUCUGUUGUAUAUCCAGUUCAAUCAACUCUGAUACUGAUUUUACCAUUGAUAUUUUGGCAGUCUCAUGCUGGGAAAGUUGUUGAGAGGCACUGGUAUGAAAAGAAUAAGCAUAUCUUCCCUGCUUCAAGAUGGGAGAUAUACGAUCCAACAAAGAAAUGGGAGCGUUACACCAUACAUGGCGACUGAUGGUCAAACAAACAAUUUUCCUUCUAUUGGAAUCUGCUUGAACAGCUGUACUCAGCUUAUGUAUUUGUAUCUUUAAUUUUAAUGUAGGCUUAGGAUUUGGAGCCGGGGGGAGGCCCUUUGCAAUCUGAGUUUUGUUCGAUUUAUGGACUUUUCUUGGAAACUAGUUGUAUGAAAAUUGACAACAUUUUUAUUGACUCCAUAAAUUAAUUCCUUCUCUUGUGUUU